rnacentral:lncRNA from 9 species
AAGAUGCUGUGAAGAUGGUUGAAAUGACAACAACGGACUUAGACUACUCCAUAAACUGAGCUAAGCAGCGUGGGGCUUGAGAGGCUGAGUCCGACUUUGAAAGAAGUUCUAAUGUGGGGAAAACGCAAUCAGCAUUGCAUGCUACAGAGAAAUCGUGCAUGACAGGAAGAGUUAAUCGAUUUGGUAGCCUUCGUCGUGGUCUUAUUUUAAGAAAUUGCCACAGCCAGCCCAGCCUUCAGCAGCCCCCACCCUGAUCCAUCAGCAGCAUCAAUGUGCAGGCAGGACCCUCCACCAGCAAAAAGACUGUGACUCACUAAAGCCUCAGAUGAUUGUUCAACCUCUUUAGCAAGAAAAUAUUUUUUAAAAUUAAGACUGGGGAGUAAUUCUAACUCCCGUGACUUCGUCGUGCCUCGAAGUAGAAGUCUAGACAUCUGGAUUUGGACAUCUGGAUUCAUCCCUUGCUGUAUCCUCUAGGUUCUUUAAGGACACCGUCAAAGAUGGUGACCGACGCAGACCCUUGUAAAACGUCACAAGACUGGCAUACUUGUAGGUGAUAAGGACGGAGAAAUAAAACAUAGGAUCUCAGCCCGGCCUUACAGGUGCUGCCCAAAGUCACAACAUCUGGAGCGCAGCCUGGAGCUGAGACGCGGGGGCUCUGCCGUGAGCCUGCUCGGCCCGGCCCCGAGGCUGGGCGCUCUCAUCCGGACCUGCUUUGGUGCAGGAGAGCAGGAUGGCAGCGGCCGGGAGGUUUCGCAUCCAGACUGAGCCAGGGUGAAGGCCUCCGAGCAGCGGCAGUUUCUCCUUCCAGGGGGACCUUCAGCCCCUCCGUCCGCUUUCGGCAGGUGGUGUGUGCAUGGGGAGCACACGUCCCGAGGGCUUGGCUCCGGCUCUGCCAUUGACCGUCCCGUGACCCUGGGCUCUAACUUCUUGCUGAGCCUCCGUUUUCUCUCGGGCAAAAUGCAGGUGCUAAUCAUCCCCACUUCAUGGAUUGCUGGGAUCACAUCUCUGUUGUGGAAAACUUUAGGGUAAACUAAAGUGAGCUAGAGGCAGAACAUCGGGUCUGGGCCGUGUGUCUGCCGAUUGGCUAGUUUAACCUUGAGAAAAACCUCUGCCACUGCCUGCCCGUCUGUUUCCGGUCUCCAAGCCCAGAUCUUUCUCUUCGCAGGCCCCAGACACGCCCCUGGUACAUGGAGAUAUCUCAUACUGGCAAUAAUAUAACAUUUCUUUUAUUUGAUGAUGUUAUUGAAUAAUUUUUUAUUUUUAAUCUAAGCAAACACUUAAGUUUAAAAAAACUAGUAACUAUGAAUCUUAACAUAGAAAUGUUAGCCCCUGCCCGUCUUCCGCCCAGUGCCGAUCCACCACUUCCACUGCUUUUAACUGGUUUAUCUGGAAAUAGCUCUACAUGUCUAAACAGCAUCCUUACUCUACAAGUCUUGAUGAUUUUUAAGUUUUAAUUGUUACCUGUUGACUUCCUAGCAUGGGAAGAAAGGAUUUAACCCUCCCCUCCCGUCACGGACACAGACACACCCCUCCGCACCCCCCACCCUCCUCUUCCAUCCGUUCUGUAUGCGGAUCGUACGUUUUGGUGGGAUAUUCGGAUGUCACACUGGGUUCACAGUUAAGUCAGAUAACAUGUGUGAUGACACGCAGCUGCACGUCUUUGCGUACACAAAUUGUUUCCCUGAAGGUAAUAAUUGCAUUGCUUUCCUGUUUGCUGAGUGUUCUCCUGGUAUCACUCGUUCGGCCCAGAAUCUUUAUAAAAGUGUCGCAUGUCCUUUCACUGCACCCGCACACGUGUGCCAUCUCUCAGCCCCUGGAGCCCAUGUCUCUGGGGGUCCCACCUCCUUGGUUCCGCGCUGGGCUGGCCGCUCUCGAGACCCACCGCGUCACCGCAUCCCCGGGCUCCCGGGCCUGGGCUCCGUUCCCGUCUCCUGGGGAACGCGGCCCCCCCCUCGCUCUGCUGUGGCUUCUCUGCCUCCUGGAUCCCGUGGCUUCUUCCUGCUUGUUUUCCUCCUUCGCUUUGUAGAAGCACGUUGUCCAGUAAUGUCUCCAAAAGAGGAAGGAUGGCUUUUGUUUCUGGAGGGUGCACACCUGAAACGGUCUUUAUUCCAUGCUUCCAUGUGGUUGAUUAUUUGAUUGGACACAGAAUUACCAAUACAGCUCAGAAACAUUUUUUUCUCCUGAUUUUAAACCAUUAUGCUGUUAUUGUCAGGUGUGCUUCGGAUUUUCAGUACUUUCUAGGCGAACUGUUUUUUUUUUUUUUUUUUUUUUUUAUCACUGUUAACUUUAAACGUGUUCUCUCUAACUCUAGUGUCUUGAAACUUCACAGACAGAUAUUUUUAUGUAGGUCUUUUUCCUUUACUGUUCUACAUUGCCAGGGGGCCCUUUCAAACUGGAAACAUAUCUUUCUCUUUUUACAUAGUUAAAAUAAUUCUCUUCAAAUAAUAUUUUCUAGUAUACUCUGAAAUCAUGAGUCUAUUUUUUUUUUUUUUGUCUUUUUAGGGCCACACCCACGGCAUAUGGAGGUUCCCAGGCUAGAGGUCUAAUCAGAGCUGCAGCUGCCUGCUGAUGCCACAGCCACAGCAAGACAGAUCCAAUCCGUGUCUGCGACCUGCACCACAGCUCAUGGCAACGUGGGAUCCUUAACCCACUGAGCAAGGCCAGGGAUUGGGCCCGAAACAUCAUGGUUCCUAGUCGGAUUCGUUUCCGCUGUGCCAGGACGGGAACUCCUGAAAUCAUGAGUCUAGAAGUCAAUUUCAGAUUUGUAUUAUUUAUUUUUUAAUUUAAAUAUAGUUGAUUUACAGUGUUAUGUUAGUUUCAGAUGUAUAAUAUAGUCAUUCAAUUUUUUAUAGCUUACACACCAUUUAAAGUUAUUAUAAAAUAGUGGCUACAUUCCCUGUACGGUACCUUACACGCAUGUAUAUUCUUAGUCGUAUUUUAAAUUUCUUAUUAAAAUUACUCCUUAACAUUUUAGAAGCUGGAGUUAGAAUAGGAAAUGUAUUACUCAGUACACAGUGAGACACUGAAUUUUCUGUGGCAAACUUCUCUAACCUGUUAUAAAACAAGGUCCUUGAUAGGGUGAAGGAUAAAGAAACCAGAAUCCCCGGCGUAGGUCACGUGAUGAAGAAGGGUCAUCCUGUUUUCUCACACAGACAAGUAGAUGGGAAAUCUCUUUACAAAUAAACAGAGCAGAGAAUGAGCAGAUUAAAUGUUUCUCAGGUGAGACAGAGCGUCCAGUAACAGAGUGUCACGGGGUGGCUUUCUCAGUUCCUUGGUACAAUAUACCCUUUUAGUGAUGAAUAGGCAUCGUGCAUUCCAACAUAGCCAAAUGACUAGCGUUGCAUUGGAAUUGGAAUAAAUGUAAUUUUAAGAAUUCAAGACACCAGAGUUAUAGAGAAUAGGUUUAAAGUCUACAGUGAUUAAGAAACAAAAUAAACAUAAAACAGUUCACAUAAGAAUUAUUGAAAAUCAGAGUAACAAAUGUAAUUUGGAUAUUACUAUACAAAUUAUUUAUUAGUGCCAGGUUUAUGAUUUCUGUCUAGACCUAUGAAAGAACAGUUCUCCUGCAAUGGGAAAGACAAGUUAAAGAUGCGUAUAUUAGCAUCCACUUCAGCUAAUUAUGCUCAUGAAGUCAGUUGUUCCAUGAAAGGCAACCUCGUUUAUUGGACAUUUUUAGGAAAUGAUCAAUUCCUCAGAGACGUUGAUGUACACAACUUUAUUUUCAUUCUACCUGUUUUUGAUUAAAAUAUUCCUCAAAGAAUAUAUUUAUUUGGCUAACUUAGAACAGGCCCAGGCGUUUAGAGGAUUCUGCUGAGUGUUUGUUUAUUCCGUCAUUUACUUAGUCAACAAGUAUUGUGUUAUUACUCUUUCCCAGUAAGUCAGGGCCGUCAUUCCUCAUUCCUCAUUGUGUUAAACCUCAGGCGGUUUUGCCCUCGGGCACCUUGAAGCUGUGCCGUGCACUUGGCCUCAAAUACAAGGCUUUGAGAAAAUUAUGCUUUUUGAGCAAAAGCUCCUGUGACUCAGUGAGGAAAAGCAAAACAACUCAAUGGGAAAAAUACAUGAAUAGGCAUUUCACAGAAAAGGAAUAACAAAUGCUCAUAAACAUAUGGAAAGAUUCUCCGUUUCUUGAUGAUCAGAGACACAAGUGAAAACCACACUGAGUUUCCACUGUACACGCUGCUGUGGCCAAGCGUUAUGAGGAAGUGGAGCCGUGGGACUCUUCUCCACCGAUAGCAGAGGCAUCAGCUGUGUCCUUCCGUGGAAGACAAUUCGGGUAUGAGCCAAUAAGCUGAGUAACGCACAUCCCUGCUACCCGGUGAGCCCAUCCCUCGGCGUGAACUCCAAGAAAGACCUUACAGCGGCAGAGGAGGUGGAUGUAAGAAUGUUCUGACAGUACAGCCUGUCAAGAAAAACUGCAGCCACCUAAAUACGUGCUGCAGUGAAGAGAGAUGGACUGGGUACACUCCUACCUGGAAUGCCAUCCAGCAGUGAGGAGGAGUACGUUAUCACUGCUUGCAUCGAUGUGACUGGACGUCUUAAACAAUAUUGAGGAAAAAAGGGACGUCUCAGAAGGGGACCUGCAAGUUCCACUCAGUCUAUAUAAGGGUAGAAAUCUGGCUUAACUGCAUGUAUUUUGUAGGGACAUAGAAAACUUGAUCCAACUGUAAAGGAAAACACCACACAAAAAUGGAGAUCAACACGUUACUCAGAGAGUGUUUACGGAGGAGGGCAGGUAAGGGCUGUGAUGACAGGAGGAGGCGGAGAGGGACCCAAGGCAUGGGGUCGUGUUCUGCCCCUUCAGCAUCGUCUCAUCCAACCAGCGCUUCCUAAAGGCCUGCGAAGCGCCAAGCACUGCCGUAGCACGUAGGGUACAAACUCUUCAAGAGAACAUAUUCCGCAGGAAGCGAAAAAAUGGAUGGAGUAAAUCAUUAACUUAUUUUAGUUUCAAAAGGUGAUAAGUUCUAUGGAAAAAAUGGGAGUUAAGACAGCUUGGUGUGUGUGGAUGGUUAGUAGAAUUAAAUGAGAUGAUGAGGGUACCUUCUUUGAGAAGGAGCUAUUUGAAUCUAGAUUUGAAAGAGAUACGGAGUAAGCCACACGGCUACCUGGGUGAGUGAAAUUUAGGCAGAGGGACCAGCCAGUGCAAUGAUCUCAUUAUGGUGAUGUGUUUGCCAUGUUUGGGGAGACAUGGGGAGGGCACCGCAGCUGACAAUGAGCAGCAUGGUCAGAGAGGUGGAUGCACCAGCAGGGCUGGACAGGGCAUGACAUGCUAGGUCGGGUAUUGGCAGCGUCCCUCUGCAAAGAGGCAGAUGAUAAAUAUUUUAGGCUUUACGGGCCACAGGGUCUCAGAAGCAAAUGCUCUGCCGUUGGAACAUGAAAGCAGCCAUAGACAAUAUGCAGUUAAUGGACAUGGAUCUAUUAUAGUAACGCUACACAAAAAAGAAGUGAGUGGAGAGUGACGGAAUUAGGAUGGCAGAAUAGAAGGACUGGAGCUCAACUUCUUUUCUAAAAACAACAAAAUUCACAACUAAAGACUGAGCACACUUCACCAAAAUGGACCGGAAACCUUAAAAAAGAUAUCCUACUCCAGAAGAAAAAAAGGAGGCCACAUCAAGAUGUAGGAGGGACGAUUUCAUGAUAUAAACAACCCCAUACCUCCUGGGUGGGAAGCUCCACAGACUGGAAACUAACUGGUUCACAGAGACUCACCUACAGGAGUGAGAGUUCUGAGCCCCACAGUAAACCCCCACGUGUGGGGAUCCGGCCCUGGGAGAAAGAGCCCCUGGAGCAUCUGGCAUUGAAGGCCAGUGGGGCUUGUGUGCAGGAGCUCCACAGGACAGGGGGGGAAACGGAGACCCCAUUCUUAAAAGGUGCAUACAGACUUUCACGUGCACUGAGUCCCAGGGCAAAGAAAAGUCUCCAAGGGAAUCUGGGUCAAACCUGACCGCAGUUCUUGGAGGACAUCCUGGGAAAACAGGGAUGAAUGUGGCUUGUUGUGAGGGAAGGACAUUGAAAGCAAAGAUCUGGGGAAUAUUCAGCAGCAGUACCUUUCUCUGGAGGUGGCCAUUUGGGGAAAAUCUGGCCCCACCCAUCAGCCAGCUCCUGAGAAGCCCCAGGGCAAACAACAACCCAGGUGGGAUCACAGCCCCAUCCCUCAGUAAACAGGCUGCCUACAGACCCCUCAGGCACACAGCCACCUCCAAUCCCAUCCAGAGACUGAACCCCACCCAACAGAGGGAUUAGAAUCAGCUCCACCUACCAGUGGGCAGGCAUCAGCCUCUCCCAUCAGGAAGCCUACACCAAGCCUCCAUACUGAUUUCAGCCACAGGGGGGCAGACACCAGAAUUAAGAGAGGCUACAACUCUAUUAUCUGUAAGAAGGUCACCACACCAAAAACCUAUAAAAAUGAAAAUACAGAGGACUAUAACUCAGAUGAGGGAGAAAGAAAAAACCCCAGAAAAACAGCUAAGCCAUGAGAUUCUCAGCCUCCAAGAAAAAGACUUUAGACUGUUGAUGCUGAAGAUGAUGCAAGACAUUGCAAAUAAACUGGAGGCAAGAUGGAUAACCUGCAGGAAACACUGACCAAAGAGAUACAAGAUACAAAACUUAAACAAGAAGAGAUGCAAAAUACAAUAACUGAAAUAAAAAAUUCACUAGAAGCAGCUAACAGCAGAAUACAGGAGGCAGAAGAACAAAUAAGCGAGGUGGAGGACAGAUUAGUGGAAAUUACAGAUGCAGAACAGAAAAGAGAAAAAAGAUUGAAAACAAAUGAAGAGAGUCUCAGAGAACUCUGGUACAAUGUGAAAUGCACCAACAUCUGUAUUAUAGGGGUGCCAGAAGGAGAAGAGAGAGAGAGGAGGAGAAAAAAUAUUCUAAGAGAUAAUAGCCAAAAACUUCCCCAACAUGGGAAAGGAACCCCUCACUCAAAUCCAGGAAGCACAAUGAGUACCAUACAAAAUAAACCCAAGGAGGAACACCCCGAGACACAUACUAAUCAAACUGACCAAAACUAAAGACAAAGAGAAAAUCUUGAAAGCAGCUAGGGAAAAGAAAUAACAUACAAGGGCACCCCAAUAAGGUUAUUGGCAGAUUUUUUAGCAGAAACUCUGCAGGCCAGAAGGGAGUGGCAUCAUAUACUCAAUGUGAUGAAAGGAAAAAAAUCUCCAACCAAGAUUACUCUACCCAGCAAGGCUCUCGUUCAGAUUUGAAGAAAUCGAAACCUUCACAGAUAAGCAAAAGCUAAGAGAAUUCAGCAACACUAAACCAACCUUACAACAAAUACUAAAGGAACUUCUAUAGGCAGAAAAGAACAAGAGAAGGAAAGGAAAAAGAGCAGCAAAAACAAAUCCAAACUAAUUAAUAAAAUGACAAUAAGAACAUACAUAUCAAUAAUUACCUUAAAUGUGAAUGGACUAAACGCCCCAAACAAAAGACGUAGACUGGCUGAAUGGAUACAAAGACAAGACCCAUAUAUAUGCUGUCUUCAAGAAACCCACUUCACUUCUAGUAACACAUACAAAUUGAAAGUGAGAGGAUGGAAGAAAAUACUUCAUGUAAACGGGGAUCAAAAGAAAGCUAGAGUAAGCAAUACUCAUAACAGAAAAAAUAGACUUUAAAUUGAAGAAUAUUUUCAGGGACAAAGAAGGACAUUACAUAAUGAUCAAAGGAUCAAUCCAAGAUGAUAUAACAAUUUUAAAUAUCUACGCACCCAACACAGGUUCACCACAAUAUAUAAGGUGACAGAUAACAACCUUAAAAGGAGAAAUCGACAAUAACACAAUCAUAGUGGGGGACUUUAACACCCCACUUACAGCAAUGGACAGAUCAACCAGACAGAAAAUCAAUAACGAAACAUAGGCCCUGAAUGAAGCAUUAAACCACAUGGACGUAAUAGAUAUUUAUAGGACAUUUCAUCCGAAAGCAACAGAAUACACAUUCUUCUCAAGUGCACAUGGAACAUUCUCUAAGAUUGAUCAUAUCCUGGCUACAAAUCCAACCUCAGUAACACUAAGAAAAUUGAAAUCAUAUCAAGCAUCUUUUCCCACCACAAUGCUAUAUGACUGGAAAUCAACAACAAGAAAAAAACUGCAAAAAACACAAACACGUGGAGACUCAACAACAUGCUACUAAACAACGAAUGGCUCACUGAAGAAAUCAAAGAGGAAAUUAAAAAAUACCUAGCAGCAAAUGACAAUGAAGAUACGACACUCCAAAACCUAUGGGAUGCAGCAAAAGCCAUUCUAAGAGGAAAGUUUAUAGCAAUACAAGCCCACCUCAGGAAACAAGAAAAAGCCCAAAUAAACAAAUUCUUAGAAAAGUACAAUCUUCCAAGACUAAACCAAGAUGAAAUAGAAAAGAUGAAUGGACCCAUCACCAGAACUGAAAUUGAAACUGUGAUCAAAAAACUUCCAACAAACAAAAGUCCAGGACCAGAUGGCUUCACAGGCGAAUUCUAUCAAACAUUUAAAGAAGAGCUAACACCUCUCCUUCUGAAACUAUUUCAAAAAAUUGCAGAGGAAGGGAUAAUCCCAAACUCAUUCUAUGAGGCCACCAUCACCCUGGUACCAAAACCAGACAAAGACUCCACAAAAAAA